GCCACGCAAGACAUGCCUGGAAGCAAUCCCAAGCACCAAACUGAAUCCAAAAAAAAUGACGGCGUCUGCUGGAUUGGAAUUCUCAGAAGAAGAAGAAGAAGAAGAAGAAGGAGAAGAGCUAUCCUGAGCCAAAAUUCUGUACGGAAACUGACCCUCGAUCACAGUCGCCAUUGAGUUUCAGUUGAAGAGGGUUCCCUCACAGAGGGAGACGUAACCAAAAAAGGUAAAAAGAUAGAACGCUAUCGUUGGUCG
rnacentral:misc_RNA from 1 species